AGUGAACGCUGGCGGUAGGCCUAACACAUGCAAGUCGAACGGCAGCACAGUAAGAGCUUGCUCUUACGGGUGGCGAGUGGCGGACGGGUGAGGCAUACAUCGGAAUCUACUUUUUCGUGGGGGAUAACGUAGGGAAACUUAUGCUAAUACCGCAUAUGACCUACGGGUGAAAGCAGGGGAUCUUCGCACCUUGCGCGACUGUAUGAGCCGAUGUCGGAUUAGCUAGUUGGUGAGGUAACGGCCCACCAAGGCGACGAUCCGUAGCUGAUCUGAGAGGAUGAUCGGCCACACUGGAACUGAGACACGGUCCAGACUCCUACGGGAGGCAGCAGUGGGGAAUAUUGGGCAAUGGGCGCAAGCCUGAUCCAGCCAUACCGCGUGGGUGAAGAAGGCCUUCGGGUUGUAAAGCCCUUUUGUUGGGAAAGAAAAGCUGCAGGUUAAUACGCCGCUGUUCUGACGGUACCCAAAGAAUAAGCACCGGCUAACCUCGUG
rnacentral:rRNA from 1 species